AUUGAACGCUGGCGGCAGGCCUAACACAUGCAAGUCGAGCGGAUGAAGGGAGCUUGCUCUCUGAUUCAGCGGCGGACGGGUGAGUAAUGCCUAGGAAUCUGCCUGAUAGUGGGGGACAACAUUUCGAAAGGAACGCUAAUACCGCAUACGUCCUACGGGAGAAAGCAGGGGACCUUGGGGCCUUGCGCUAUCAGAUGAGCCUAGGUCGGAUUAGCUAGUUGGUGAGGUAAUGGCUCACCAAGGCGACGAUCCGUAACUGGUCUGAGAGGAUGAUCAGUCACACUGGAACUGAGACACGGUCCAGACUCCUACGGGAGGCAGCAGUGGGGAAUAUUGGACAAUGGGCGAAAGCCUGAUCCAGCCAUGCCGCGUGUGUGAAGAAGGUCUUCGGAUUGUAAAGCACUUUAAGUUGGGAGGAAGGGCAUUAACCUAAUACGUUAGUGUUUUGACGUUACCGACAGAGUAAGCACCGGCUAACUUCGUGCCG
rnacentral:rRNA from 1 species